rnacentral:rRNA from 1 species
GACGAACGCUGGCGGCGUGCCUAAUACAUGCAAGUAGAACGCUGAAGAGAGGAGCUUGCUCUUCUUGGAUGAGUUGCGAACGGGUGAGUAACGCGUAGGUAACCUGCCUGGUAGCGGGGGAUAACUAUUGGAAACGAUAGCUAAUACCGCAUAAAAUGGAUUAUCGCAUGAUAAUCCAUUGAAAGGUGCAAAUGCAUCACUACCAGAUGGACCUGCGUUGUAUUAGCUAGUUGGUGGGGUAACGGCUCACCAAGGCGACGAUACAUAGCCGACCUGAGAGGGUGGUCGGCCACACUGGGACUGGGACACGGCCCAGACUCCUACGGGAGGCAGCAGGAGGGAAUCUUCGGCAAUGGACGGAAGUCUGACCGAGCAACGCCGCGUGAGUGAAGAAGGGUUUCGGAUCGUAAAGGUCUGUUGUAAGAGAAGAAAGAGUGUGAGAGUGGAAAGUUCACACUGUGACGGUAGCUUACCAGAAAGGGACGGCUAACUACGUG